AUGAGAGCUUCUCCUGGAGCCCUCAGCUGGGAGGGAGGGACGUCAUUGUUCGCUCCUGCCUGUUCGAGGAGGACACCGACUGGACAGAGAACUUUCCCAGCCCAGGGUCCGCACACCAAGUGGGUGCACCCAUGGGCAUGUGCUCGGGUGCCUCCUGCUGCUUCCACUGGGGUGUGGUGUGGGUCCCCACGGCCAGAAGUGGUCCUCUGGGGGGCUGGGGGAGGCAUCUAGGCCUUGUAGCAGCCGCAGUCAAGUGUGUCCUUGGAGCCGUCCGUUCAUCGCCUGCCGGGCCAUCGCCACUGGAGACUGUGGCCUGAUGGACACCUGGUGUAGACAAUGAGGGAAGAACUCGCCUCCCACACCCAAGAGGUGACCCCAGAGCAAGGCCCAGAUGACCCUACGUGCCGGGACGAUGCGGCUGGCCUGCAUGUUUUCAUCCAUCCUGCUGUUCGGAGCCGCGGGCCUCCUCCUCUUCAUCAGCCUGCAGGACUCCACGGAGCUCACCCCCCAGCAGGUGCCAGGAGUCAAGUUCAACAUCAGGCUACCGCAGCCGCGCGACGUGAGUUCUGAUCAAUCUCAGCAGGGCUGCCUGGGGAAGUUGGCGAGGGCAGGGGAGAAGUUUGGAGCGCGCAUUAAACCCGUUCUUGGAAAGAAAAAUGCGUCCGGCCCUUCCCGGGCGCCCUGGGAACAAAGCCGGGCCCGGGGCGUGAGUUUCCCUUCCCCACUGGAUGGCAGGUUGGAGUGUGCUAACUGACUCAGUAAAUCUGAGGGCUCCUCCAGCCCCGCUGCCGCCCC